rnacentral:tRNA from 1 species
GGAGGUGUAGCUUAGUGGUAGAGCGUUUGCCUGGCACACACAAAGCCCUGAGUUCAAGCCUCAUUACCACCA